rnacentral:rRNA from 1 species
GAAUUUUGGACAAUGGGGGCAACCCUGAUCCAGCCAUCCCGCGUGUGCGAUGAAGGCCUUCGGGUUGUAAAGCACUUUUGGCAGGGACUAAAAGGCUCUGGCUAAUACCUGGCGCUGCUGACGGUACCUGCGGAAUAAGCACCGGCUAACUACGUGCCCUCAGCCGCGGUAAUACGUAGGGUGCAAGCGUUAAUCGGAAGUACUGGGCGUAAAGCGUGCGAAGGCGGUUCGGCAAGAAGGAUGUGAAAUCCCAGGGCUUAACCUUGGAACUGCAUUCUUAACUGCCGGGCUAGAGUAUGUCAGAGGGGGGUAGAAUUCCGCGUGUAGCAGUGAAAUGCGUAGAGAUGCGGAGGAAUACCGAUGGCGAAGGCAGCCCCCUGGGAUAAUACUGACGCUCAUGCACGAAAGCGUGGGGAGCAAAC